GUGCGACCCCAGGAUGGGCGGGGUGACCCGCUGAGUUUAAGCAUAUCAAUAAGCGGAGGAGAAGAAACUUACGAGGAUUCCCCUA
rnacentral:rRNA from 14 species